rnacentral:lncRNA from 1 species
UGAACAUUAAACUGACUGAGCCACCCAGGAGACAUCGAUUCUUGAAUCUAAUAUCUGACAUGCUGAAAUCAUCUUGGUCUUAAGGUUGAAAAUAUUUUUGCAAUCUAUUUUUGUUUUGGCUAUAUGUACGGUAUAUUUUGUUUUUUAAAGUUUUUGUUUUUUAUUUUUAUACUAUGAAACAUCUCAAUCUUUCAUUAUAGCAUCUGGAUAUAUUUUCUUUUAUUUCUUC